UAGUUUCUUCUAACAAUAAAAAAAACAACAUAUUUUUUGCUUUGCGAUAUGGUCAGCCACAUAACUUGUUAAUUGAAUGGUCAUGAAAUAAUUGUUAUGUCCAUUCUCUCAAUGAUUAUAGUAUGGCAGUUGUCAGUUACUGGCAUAAGUAUAUGCACUUAGUUGAUCCAGGAAAAGGUUAAUUUAAUGACCACACUGCUAGGACUAAAAUGCAUUUUUAUUUGUGUAGAGGUCUAUUAAAAUCUGAUAAAAUUCCUGGAUUUUCUAGAUUUUCCAGUUCCUGCAGGAACCCAUACAAUCACACAUCUUUACACAGCUGAACAACAACAGGCCCUCUGGUCAGUUGGGCCCCCACAUCCAAGGACAAUGCCUUGGUAUAGGCGUCGAGCUCUUGGGUCAGGAAUUUUGGGCAAAGCUCCUACCCCAAGGGUACAGCCAGUCUAACCAUGGGACUCCAAACUUCACUGCUUAGAGGCCAAGACUACCUCAUCUACAAGGGGCCUUUCCCUCACAAGUUCAGGCCCAGAGAAUCAUGUUACCCAACUCCAGCUGAGGCACUACAUCUCAACAGGUCCUCAGUCUCUCUUGCAACAACAAAAGCUGAAGUUGAAGUGUGAAAGAGAGAAAGAGUUGACAUGAAAUUGCUGCUUCAGCCUUAAUUGGAACAUCAGCAGCACCAGCAACAACAACACUUAAAAUUCAGCAAUCAACAGUUCGAUUGACGAAGGCUUUCAAAUGAAAAACUGUCAAUUUUCAAAGCACCCUUCCCUGAAAAUCUGGCCAAGCUAAUACACAAUGUGAAUGCAUCAACGUGACCCUUCAGAGAAACAGGAUUCCAGGCCGAAUGUCAAACCGUCUGGGCUCCAGCAGCAGCCUCAGCCGUGGGGGUCAGGUUCAUGAUGCACCUAUGCUCUCAAUGCUCUAUGAACAUCAUAAUCUCACAGCAACAGUGGAUAACAUGACCUUCAAGUUGGGGAUGGUUGAGGGUCUCCCAAAACCACCCAGUGCCUUGCGAUGAAAACCUCCAACGGGACUGUGAGCUUGCCCUUGGACUCACCUAAUGGUCAGGUUCAAGGUCACAUGGGCUUAGAUAGUCACUGCAGUAAAAAAGUGUAUGGUUUUAAAGUAAAGAAGAUGACUUCACAACAUGACAUCCAAGACUGCAGGGACGAAAUGACUCACGCCAGCAGAGGAAGCCAAGACACAAUACGAGAAUUUCCAGCGGCUUACCUGCUUGUAUGGGUUUAUUUUAAACCUAAUUAUUAUUUGAUUUAGUUAGAAAACCUGGGAAGCAGAGCAAUGAGUAUGUCCCAGGAGCAUUUGCAGUCACAGCAAGUGAACCAGCGGCAGUCAUCGUCUCCAGAUUCUGAGAUCCCCAUGCUUCACAACCCUUAGUCUAUGCAAAUCAUGCAGAGCGAACCUUGGACAUUGACGAAAUCAACCCGGCAAAUCAGAAGGACAGCCUGUUGCUACAGUUAUCAUAUUAACCCCAGUCAUACCAAAGAAGCUCAGAGAUAUAAAUGCUGUUUAAGAUGUGCUAGUCUCUACAUACUCCAUGUCUGGUGUGAACAUGUACAAUUGAAGGUCUCUACAUACCCAAUGUCUGGUGUGAACAUGUACAAUUGAAUGUCUCUACAUACUCCAUGUCUGGUGUGAACAUGUACAAUUGAAGGUCUCUACAUACUCCAUGUCUGGUGUGAACAUGUACAAUUGAAGGUCUCUGCAUACCCCAUGUCAGGUGUGAACAUGUACAAUUGAAGGUCUCUACAUACUCCAUGUCUGGUGUGAACAUGUACAAUUGAAGGUCUCUACAUACUCCAUGUCUGGUGUGAACAUGUACAACUGAAGAUCUCUACAUACCCCAUGUCUGGUGUGAACAUGUACACUUGAAUGUCUCUAUAUACCCCAUGUCUGGUGUAAACAUGUACAAUUGAAGGUCUCUACAUACCACAUGUCUGGUGUGAACAUGUACAAUUGAAGGUCUCUGCAUACCCCAUGUCAGGUGUGAACAUGUACAAUUGAAGGUCUCUACAUACUCCAUGUCUGGUGUGAACAUGUACAAUUGAAGGUCUCUACAUACCCCAUGUCUGGUGUGAACAUGUACAACUGAAGAUCUCUACAUACCCCAUGUCUGGUGUGAACAUGUACACUUGAAUGUCUCUAUAUACCCCAUGUCUGGUGUAAACAUGUACAAUUGAAGGUCUCUACAUACCACAUGUCUGGUGUGAACAUGUACAAUUAAAGGUCUGUACAUACCCCAUGUCUGGUGUGAACAUGUACAAUUGAAGGUCUCUACAUACCCCAUGUCCGGUGUAAACAUGUACAAUUGAAGGUCUCUACAUACCCCAUGUCUGGUGUGAACAUGUACAAUUGAAGGUAUCUACAUACCCCGUGUCCGGUGUGAACAUGUACAAUUGAAGGUCUCAUCUUUGAAAUUGGGACAGGUGGAAAAUUGAUGCAUUGAUGCAGACAGAAGUCGCAUAAUGACAAAUCACAACAAAAAGUGAAAAUCCAGACAGUCUUGUGGCCAGCCAUGUUUUUAUGUGACCAUCCAAGUUGUGUUCAAAGAAAACAAUAGUUCAUGUUUUAUUGGAACUAUGAUGCUGAUAGUCAUUUUAUGUAAAAGGCUUUUAUGAACUGUAUUUAAAUACUCAGUAUAAUAAGAUUAAGAUUACUUGAUAAAAGCAAUAAUGAACAAUAUUAUUUUAAGAGCAAAAUUAACAAGUCUAUCCAAUUACUGUGUCUGUAUUAUGAAAUUUUAUUUUGGAAAUGUUAAGGAAAAUAUAAUGUUACUAAAUAUAUGUCUAUUAAUGUUCAUUUUAACAUUUGUCAAAGCUGUUUAAAUGAUGCCGGUAACUUUGACAACAUUGAAAGAAAGUGUAUUCUUUUCAUGUAAUGAGACAUGCUUCAGUUUGUUUUGCUUAACAUGUAAUAUAGAGGUGGUAGUUACACACAUUGUUUAGACAGGUGGAUAAUUUUAAUGCUAAGGCUUUGAUAACUUUAAGUGUGCCCAUUGGUGUCAGGUGUUUUUGUCAAGCAUCUUGUUUAUUAUCUUAGUAUUUCAAGACAAUAUUGAUUAAUUUUAGACAAAAUCAUUUAAUCUUCCUUAAAUUGUCUAUUCGGUAUUUACUACCAGUUAUUUAUUAAUUUACUUGAACAUGAUUUAAUAAUGACUUUUUUGUUGCUUAAAAUGCUUUAUAUGUUUUAAAACUAAGCAUUUAAAAACGAAAAUAUAAGAUGUGGGAAUAAUGUCCAAAGUUAUGAUAGUUAUUUUUUGUUUUUGUAAAGUUAAUUAUGCCUUAUAUGUUUGUGUAUAGACAUUUAGAGGACCAGAUUAACCUGACCAAGAAUUCUUGAUCAAUGUGUAUAUCGGUCACUUCAUUUGUCAUUUGUAUAUAGAGCGAUUGCGAAAUGAUCGUAUUGUUAAUGAAAAUCAUGCGUUUAUUGUUGCCAUUUUGAUUUUCGCUGUUAACAUGUAUUUGUACAAACAAUUUUCAUCAUGUACAUCUUUUAGAUGCCAGAUAAUAAAAACAAACAUUGCUUGUGGAGAUGCUCAUUUAAAACUUUCUUAAUGAUACAGAACAACACAUUCUGAAGAGGCUAAUAAAUUAUGCUUUAGGCAAAAGGAACAUCUUGUUACUAGUAUAUGUAAUGCCUUUCACUAAAUAAAGUCAAGCAACUAUUGAAAGAUUGGUAUAACUUUGUUUUGCAUUAUCUUAAGAAAAAUUAAUAUAUUCAACUUGGAAAUCAGUCAAUUGCAAAUCAAGCGAGAGUGAUUUAACAUGCUAACACUUGUCAAUAAUUGAAUUGUCUCUCUUUGUACGUAAGAUAUAGGGAUGUUGUUGCUUGAAAAACAAAGUUGUAUCCGUUGUUAGAUAAUGCUUUUGUUCAUCUCUCAACAUAACAAGUACAUUCAUACAGUUAUUAAAAAUUUGACACUCUUAAUUCUCAGCCAUCAGUUUGUAUUGGGAAUUUGUGGAAUACUUACUAAACUAAUAUAUACGUCUGUUUAAUGAAUGAAUAGCUAUGGUACAAUAUGAUACUCAAUGUUACAAAACAUGUGUAAUAAAAAUAAAAUGUUAUUUAUUUCAAAUCAUAAAAUUUAGUUGUCCAUACAAUGCUUACAGUUUUGCAAUUGUGACGAUAAAGGAAAUGUUCUGCUCAAAAUGUCUUUUUAAGACAUGUGAAAAUUGUAGCAAUCAUAUUGUACUUGUAUUUAUAUUAUACAUUAUAAGAAUUUACUUACAGCUGAUGAUAGCGGCAGUUUACUAGUUGUGUAACAGUUUGUUUCACUCGACCAUUAUACCAUAUUGCCUUAAAAAUGUGAUUGUUUAUACUGAACUUUAAUUGAAUGCAUGAAACAUGAUUGUUCUGUUGCUUAACAGCUGAAAAUAGCUUGAUGUUUGUUAAUUGUGUGAAAUGUUUCAAAUAAAUCAUAUUGAUACAUAGAAAAUAAAAUUACAUUUUGCGUUAAUUUGAAUGCAUAACAAACAAUUGUUACCAUACAAACACAGUCAUAGUGAACUAAAUUGAUAUUUUGAGAUGCAAUUUUUACAAUAAUGUGUUAAUAUUUUCAUCUAUUCUAAAUAAACAUUUUGCAUUUGUAAAUAUAGGGUGUAUAUAUACUUUAUAGAAACUGCUUAGACGCCUUAUUUAAAUUGCGUGUGUACCUCAUAUUGAUUAAAGACUAUUAAUUAUUGCAUAUUUGUUUGUGCCUAUGUCUUACUUAUCUCUUCAUAGUCCUUACAUUACUGCAAAUAGUAUUUUAAUAAAGUUAAAAUAUUUAUCUAUACUAUAAUCAGGUUAUCUGUUAAAUUAAGUUUCGUGCAUUUGUAUUGUCUAGCUAAUUAAAUUGAAGUGUCUAUAUUCUCGCCUACAUAAAUUGUUGGUGUAUGGUUAAGAGAAAUCACAUUUCACAACUCGUGUUGUUUUUAUCCAUCAUUAAUAACCAGUGUUUAGUCCAUAGAGGUUACAUUAUACAAAAUAUUUCAGUUGUGCAAUGCUUUGCUAUCUUAAUAAAUCAACACUAUUUAUUGAUUUUCUAUAUAGGCACUUCCCAUGACUUUAGGGAGGGAAAACAUUGUUUGCUUGAAGGUUAGAAACUUAAUGUUGACAUCUUGAAAGAUGG